AAAACAAAACACAACAGACUCAUCGUUUCUCAUUGGAUCAGUGCUGGGGCUUCAAAGAGGCCUGCUCAUCCCCAUGCUCUUGCGACCCUUUGCCGGAUGCCUCCCUACAGCAGCCGUGCAGAACAGAACUCUUUCUAAAACGUCACCCACAGCAGACGCCAGUGCUUCAGCCAUGGCUUGAACGUUCUCACGUCUCCCACUAUUAUCUGCAUCUGAGUUCUCUUUACUCCCCUUAAACUACGACCGUGAAAGAGAGCGAUUUCUACAUCAUUUAGUUAUUUAUCUCCGUAAUACUCAGGAGUGAAAUUUUUAAAAGUGGCUACCAUUACUCUUGCUGCUAACAAUUGGCAGCUAUCCUGGGGAAGUGGUACGCGGGAUGAAAUGAGCCCCUGUAGGAAACAUGGCCUUUUCUUGUUUCUAAUAUUUUUUCGUCUUUGGUGUCAUCAGUCAAAUUAAUCUAUUUUCUCUUUCCACAUGACUCUCCAAAGUGAGAGAGAAGUUAAGGGUUUGAAGAGGCUGUUCUGGGCUUCCCACUGAACAUGGGGCUUAGGAUGUGGCUGGGCACCUGCUUCCCUUAACCCCUUGAGAUCUGAGAAUUCAGAACCCUUUCCUGUAGCCUAGCAAAAACAAAAACAGGAACAAACAAGGUGGGGGUGGGGUAUGUGGUGGCAUGGGGUGGGGGAUGUAUUACAGAAUACCAGUGCUGGUAUCAUGUUUCUCUUCCCCAUCUCCAUGUCCUAUUCCUCUUCUUCAUUUAUUAUUGUUUUAAAAAAUAACUCAUUGUGUCCAAUUAGUGGUACCUAUUCAUGGCACCAUCCACUAGAGCUUAAAAAAUACACAGACUCUACCUCAUGCUCAUGUAUACUCGAGGGUACAGACCUGACAGUAUACAGAAGACAAGAGAGAACAAUGUAAAGGGCUGAGAGAAAUACAAGUUCUGAGACUUGGGGAGGCACGGUCUCUAUGUAGGAUCCGUGAGUGCCCGGGCAUACUUGGAACUGACACCCGCCGGGACCUACAGGAUGGAGACCUAGCAGGUUAUUGAUUUUGCAGGUGUCUGAAUUUGAAGUGACAAAUUACUUGGUUACAGUCAGCUUUAGUGUUGCCUUCUUUACACAACUACACUAACACAUUUCUAGGCAACUUUGAGGACUCUUAAAAUUAAAACGUUUUAUAAAUAACAAAGCCACAGAGGGAAAACCAGGUGUAUUUACUAUUAUCAAAGUUCAUCUCCAUGUGCGUGUCUGAACAUAGCAACAGCAGCACAGAGGGAUCGCCUCAGUUACCCUGCUCCUCUGGAUCAUUUAGCUGCUGGCUAUGGUAUAGAGCUUCCAUGGUAUAGGACUUCUAUGUUCUAGAACUCCCAUGGUAUAGAACUUCUAUGGUAUAGAACUUCUAUGGUGUAGAGCUUCCAUGGUGUAGAGCUUCUUGUUCCAUCUCUGACUCCUUCCCCUUGCCCUCUGCUACAUGUGCUAUUCCCUCCAUCCCAUGCCAUUCAGAGAACACAGCCCUACACUCCUGCAGAGGCAGACUCAGGUACCUCACAUCUCUGUGUCUAAUCCCUUUGGGGGGGGGGUGAGGAUACACAGCCACCAAGUCUUGUGAAGCUAUGCCAGCCAUCUCAGCCAUUCCCCCGACACAUUCGUGACAUCCUCCUGCCGUAGAGGCUGAGGAUUUAUGUGACUUUAAUUGAAGGCUACAGAAGGGACAGGGAAACAUCAGCUCCUAUCAAUCACCGCGUCCCUUGCUUUCAUUGUGUACUUAACAGCUUGUUACUUAUUCAGGAGGGGGAUUCUGCACUGAGUCUGUCUCCGUGCAAACAGUCUUCCCAGGCUGAAGAAAGCCCUGAAACAGGGAGGUGGCCUCAUUAGGCACACAGGCCUGUGCCGCAUACCGAAACAUGGAGACACAGUGCUGAUGACCACGACUACAGUGGGGGAGUCAAGGGUUCCAGCAUCCUCCCGCUUUCCUGUCUAUGUCCCCGCAAGACUUCCCAGGCGUGUUUGACACCAUGGCCCUUUGUUGUGUUUUCAAAGCGAUCCUUGCUUGGCUCUUCUCAACAAUGAACUCUGCGACUGUUUAACUGAAAUCUCCUAUGGGGGGAACUUGAUGUCUGGUUUACUGUGCUCUCUUACAGAAUGCCUGCAGCACAGCAGACCCCUGAAGGAGCGAGCAUACGGCUGCAUGCACGUGAGGAAUGCUAACACUCAGUCUUGGUUCUGACUCCCCUUUUACCUUACGCCUCUACGCCAUCUGUAGAGGCUUGAGGACCCUUCAUCUUUAUCUUUUCUAAGGGCCAUCCUUUAGGGGGCUCAUUCAAGACCCAGUACGGUUAUCACCCGGCUCUCAGGUACUGCCUUGGCGUGUGAUGCUGAACUGUUCCUCCUGACCCCCAGGCAGAUCUCAGUCCCAAGUUUACCCGCCCAAGGUUUUGCUUCCCAACUUAGCUCAGCCCACUACCCUGGUGGUCGAAGUUAGGUUCCUACUUGCCAGUCGUUUCCCACUGAGCUACUGAUGUGUCUGACCCUGCGGACAGGCUCUUCUGUGAACCAAGGAAGAUGUCACCUGGGAACCAGUUAGAGGUCGCUUGGGCCUUUGUGUGGUCUUUAAAAUAAGGGGGUUUGCAAGCCAAUGAUGCGUAUUUUCUUAAUCCGUUUCACACAGAAGAAGGGGUUUUAGUGUGAGAUUUGCAAUCUUGUUCUUCAUCUAUUUCCCUAUUUCAACCUGACUACCUGGUUCAAAUUACCAACUGAUACCUGGGUAGGUUAUCAUGCAGAGAUAAGUGCCCCCUGCCCCACUGCGCCCCCAACAAUGGAGCAAACAUGACGGUCACCAUACAUGUGACUUCAGUAGUCCCUGGUGGGUGGGCAUGGAGUGACAGUGACCAUCAUGAGCCAACACAGUGAGCCUACAACCUUGAGCUGAAUAUACAAGGUUCCCAUGGGUCUGACACGCCCCGGGGAGUUUCCAUUCCUCUGCCCUAAACCUCUAGGGUUACUGGGAAUUUCUCCAAGGGCACAGGGAAGUGCUUGUGCUUGGAUUCAGAUUCCCCAAACAACAAGGAAAAAACCCAGGGGGCUCAGCGAGCCCCUCUGGAGGUCUGAACAGGUGAGACUGGCAGCUCUGCCUUGGGUUCCACUGGUGGUGGCCGAGUUGGCAGCCAUAGAGAUUUGCUGUGGCAGAAUACUUAAAGAUGUUCACACAGAGGGACAGAAGGGACAGUCGUUCAUUGUCCUCCUAUGGGACUCCAUCACUUGAAAAGUAAGGCCUAGAAAUUACAAUAUCAGCCGACUUCCAUACAUCCAUUUCCUUCACAAUGGUUGGCAUAUGCUGAGAAGGGAAUGCUCGGAGGGGCUGCUCACCACCACCCGGCCUUGCAAAGAACAAGGACACAGGAAGGAAGAAACGCAAUCACUAGCCCAAGGAAGAGACACCCAGGGAUGGGCACCAUUGUGUAGGAUGAGGUGAGGGAUAAUACAAAUUAUGAUUUCAGACCCUGGUAGGCAAGCUACACCAUGUUCUUUUCACAUCUGAAUCUCUGUACAGCAUGUUCUUGGUGACUACAGUCAAGGUCCUUGGAACACUCACAGUAGCUUACUUGAGUUUUUAAAAAGCCAGGUAUAAAUAUCAAUGCUGCUGCAGAGUACGCAGAAUAAAAUUUAACAUCUUUUGAGGGAGUCUUACUUCUGAGGCGCUGUUUGAAGUGCUUUAAGUGUCCUAUCUCGUUAGAUUUACAAUUCGCCAUCCUGUGAAAUCAGUCCUGUGGUCUCUGCCCUUUGCCAUACGAUCACAGACAGGCCCUGGGCAUGGCAAGUUUCUGGGAACAUACAGAUACUGAGCCAUGAAGUUGAGGGAGACUCUUCCCUUCCUUCUUUCCUUCUGAAGAUAAGGAGGGUCUCCCAGCAGCUGGGCUCUAGCUCACCCCCACUAUCCUCCUGGUUCAGCAGGUCAAGUACCAGAAUAAGGAGGCUGGAGCUUAGCUGACUGCCCCAUCUCAGGAGAACUACAGAGCAAGCAUCAGGAAGACAGGCAUAUACUCUGAGCCACAAGAGGAAGCCAGCAGAGAAACCUGUGUGUCCCACACAGAAUAGCCCUUGGAAAAGUGGUUUUACAUCAGGUCAGUUUCGCCUUUAAUGUGUUUGUUGGCCUCCUGCUGAGACAGAAUAGGUUCACCUUGUGAGCAGGCAAGCUCAGGCUGCCAGCCCUCAGCUCUUCAGAGCCACCCAGAGUUUUCCCAGGGCAAAGGCUUCCUGUCUCCCUCCCUUCAGUGUCCCCUACCUAGCUCUCAUGGUGGCAGCCUCUAUACCUAAAAUAUCAUAGUGCCUCAUGUCCCCCCAGUCCUCUCUGGGUUCCCUUAGUCCCCCCACCCCCGACCCAUACGCCCUGAAACCCAGCAAACCUGACCCUGCCUACAGUUGCCCAAUUGACGCAGAGCACAGUUCCGAACCCGUUCUCUCCCAUGCCUCUUUGGAGACUUUUCUUCCCUGUGAGCCACUCCGAGGCUACCACUCACACCUGUUUCAGUGUACCAGGCUGGCACGAUGCUUCAUGUCCUUUGUGGACACAGUGUGGCUUCUUUGGAAGCUUUUUUCAGAAUGGUCUAUGAAACGCCCCACUCCCCACAGCACCAGCCCAGCCUCAGCCUGGCUAUGGAAGCUGGGUGUGUCUGGGGUCCUGCAAGCGGUACCAGAGAGGCAAGGGUGGGAAAGCACCUCCCCCACUUUCCAGAGGCCAAUCAUUGUCUAAGGUAACCGUGAUUCCAAGUACAUGCCCUUUCACAGCUGGCCCACAUUCCAGGACAACAUCCAACAGAGAGCAGAGCCCUUCCAAAGGCAGAAUGAAUGGCUUUCCCGGUAUUAACUCCCUGGUGUUUAAUGUCCGUGGACUCUGCAGAGAGCCACCUCCGAGAAUCCUGCAGGCAUAAUUGCCUUUCUUGCACUAGACCAGACCUCCGCAUCUCAAUGUGGUUGUGGGGCACUGCCCAGAAUUAAGAACUACAGGAGUCAAAGAGACACAGCUGGAUUACUGACCCUAGAAGGACGGGGCGGCCUGCCUGCUCCAGACCUUGCUGGGAGGUGAAGGCUAUCGUGGGAAAAUGACUACGUAUGAGAGACAAGGAGAGUCCACUAGUGAGAGAGACAAUGCACUUAUUCUACGACGGGGUGGACUGCCUCGUCCUCAUUAAUGGUGGAAACUGAAGAGUAAUACUCCAUUUCACUAGGGACUGUUGUUAAAACAAGUCUCAAAGAGGAUAUAAGGAAUGGAACCAUUACCAGACCUGCAACCCACUGAUGAUGCAGAAGCCACUCGGCCAGGAAAACAAGAGAAGGGGCAACAGAGAAGUGAGAGGUGAGGGAGAGGCUUGCUUGGGGUAUGCUGGGUCGGGGCUCACUGGGGUCGGGGCUAGCUGGGGCCAGGCCGAGAAACAGAAGCUGUGCACUGAAGGCCAGUGUUGUGAUGAACUAAGACAGUCCUUUCAGUUCCACUGGGAAACAGUUUCAAGUGGCCAUCACCAUCUGAAGGCCAGGUAUGGGAACUCAUUUUUUCUUCAGAGUGUGGAAUGGGUGCCAGAACCCUGACAACUGUACACCUCAGGAAUGGCUGCCGUGGAGAGUGGGGUGCUCUCCUCGCAGCUUAGUGCUGACUACUCCUGAGGCCUGGGCUGGGUUCUGGGCUGGGAACCUAUAAGCCAAUCCACCUUUCUGGAACACAGAGAGCAUGUAUAAGAAAGCCAGAAUACUCUCCCAGACGUCACUGGAACCAUCUACUGUGCUGCGGUGACAGAGGCCCUGCGAUGUCUGACCCCUCAGAAACUCUCGCUGACUUCUGCCAUGUUCACAGUGAAGUCUGCCCUCCCAGAUGCAAAUCUCUGAAGCCAGAAAACCCCUCCAGGUUUCUCCUUUUCAAACUGUGGCCAGAGGGUGGCAAUCAAAACUAAUUCAAUAGGACACACCGUGGGGAGGGGAUGGGGCUGCAUGCACAGACAGGUACAGUACUGAAGUCGAAUGAGUUUUCACAAGACUGACUGUUUCUGAAGACAUAUCAAGAAAUGUGUUCUGUGGAAGAGGAGCUGGGCAGCCCUUUCCUGAAGAAAGAGACAGACACGUCACAGGAGAUGGGACAGCUGUGCAUUUGCCCCAUGGGACCAGCAUGACUUCCCACCUGGCUGAGUGCUCACCACACAGGUGAGCCUGGCUUCUGGCUCAUUCCUGUGUGUGCUUGCGAUUCUUGUGUAUCUUAAGCUUCUGCAUGGUAUGGAGCGCUGACCAGGAGGUUGGUACUAUCUAUUGAGUCAGUUAAUGAGCCUGGUCACUCCUCCUAAUGUCCUGGUUCUGACACAACCUUCUGUCCCUGCAGAAGGCUUCAUCUUGGCAGCAGGUGUGGACUCUUCUUGCCAGUGUGGCCUGACCAGAGACAUUUCUACCUCCUGUUAUUUUCUAGAUCCCCGUGAGUGCUCAUCAUCCAACAUGAGGGCCAGCACUGCAUCUUCUGAGACAAGGCAGAUGGGGAGAAGUUCAAGGGGACAGUGUCACACUGUCUGUCUGGAUGCUGUGUGUCCUCCCAAGGCAAUCUCUAAGAACCAUGCCAAGGCUUCUUAAAAAUGUCCAGCUCAGGUUUCUCCACAUGGAGGGAGUGAAGUUCAGGCCUUGAGCUUUUACUAAAGAGUUUACUUUUUUAUUGACUAGUGAAGCAGGCUCCCUUAGGGUUGUCGAGGCCAGGGAAGGGGGAGGUAAUUUUAUGCUUAUAUGGUGUCCGUUAGUCUCUGGGUGCCAUGACGCCCUCCUUCCUAACCAUGGAGCUGUGCUCUGUCUUAAGAGUAACUAAGGGCUCACAGGGAGGUGCCAUUCACAUGGGUGAAUUUGAUCCUCACCAUGUGAGGUACCUGUUCAGGGCCUGUUCUUCUGUUUCCUAGCUUGCCUUCCUCAUCUACAAUCUGUGGAUACUCUCGACGCCUACCUCUGUACUCACGCCAACAAGCUGGUGAGUUCUGCCCAGGGAUGGAGACCCAUCUGCAUAGAGAGCUGCUCUGCUGAGCUACCAAACACUCCUUCCACCUUGAUACACUCGGGAGGCUCCGAUAACUUCCAGGACAGCACAGGAUUUGAACCUUGUGACUAUGGAUGGUAUGCAGCUAGUGAGAGCGACUUCAUCCUACAGUGGCCAUGAGAUGAUGGAUGGACAGCAGAUGCUAUCAAUCUAUGGAUUCUCUGAACUGAAACGACCAAGCCUCUUACUAAGAUUGCUGCAGUUUGGAAUUCGAUAUCUUUUGGUAUCAAACCUACAAUGUGACUGUGAAUUACUGUUUCCACGUGGGAAGAUGAGAAUGUUCCCCCUGGUACUUCCUACCACAGUGAUUUCCCUCAUGCAUGGAUGAAGCAAUAAAACAUAUGAUGGGUUGGAACUCUGAAAAUGUGAGCCCAGAUAAUAGAUCUUUCUACUUUCUUGAUCAUGGAAAGACAUACAAUAUCGUAAAAUCUAGAGACUUCUACUUAUAACCUAAUCGCUCUUAACCCACAAGAGUUAGUUCUUGGGUUGGAAGCUCCAACAGCUUCCCUACACCACCUACAAGGCCUCGGAUGCAGAAGCCUGCUGAUAAUGUCCACCUUCAAGACAAUAGCUGUAAGUCCUCCGCCUUCUGGGACAUUUGGAUGGAGACUGUCUUAGUUAAGGUUUUCACUGCCGUGAUAAAGACCAUGACCAUAAGCAACUCUGGAAGAAAGAGGUAACCCCAGUUCAUAUGUCUCAGGGAUACCAGGACAGGGACUUAAGGCAGGAGCCCAGUGCAGGGGCUAAAGCAGGGGCCAUGGGGGACUGCAGCUUACUAGCUUGCUCCUCAUGGUUUGCUCAGCCUGCUUUCUUAUAGAACCAGCCCAAGAGGUAGCAUUACCUACAAUAACCUGGGUGUUCCCACAUCCAUGUUCUGUUCUAUUGAUAUAGACAGUCUCGGUAAUAGCAACACUUGGAACCAAACACUGCUCAGAAUAGAUUAUGUAAGACCCCUUCCUUUAAUCAUGACCCUGUAGGAGGCAGGAAAGAUUAAGCUGGGGCCAAAGAGGCAAGGGCCAGAAUGGGGAGAGACUAGCUCACAGUGAGGUAUUAUGGUAUACCCACUGGAAAGGGUCAUGGUGCCAAGUGUAGGUGAGGGUGUCAUACAGUGUGAGCUGUCAGAUGCUGAUACUGAACAUGAACAUGAAAAGAAGAAGUAGCUAUUAUGGAGUAAAGAGGAAGAUCCAUCUUAUAUAUCAGUAGCAAGAAGUUGAUAUUAUGUGCAUCCUGGGGGCUAAAUAAGAAUGUGCCUAGCAAUACUGUUUACAAUCAACAACAACGUUACUACCUUAUCAAGUUGAUGCUAUUCAGUAACCACAAUGAAUGGACUACAGUUACGAACACCAGACUGGAUUAGCAGCAGUCACUACUCGUGCACAGUGACUGAGCAAUGGGCCAUGAGUACAGAGAGGAAAUGAUGUUCCUUAAUUGAAACAUUUACAUGCAUCACAUGUGUGUCUAUGGAGGCAAGAAGAGGACACUGGAUCCCUGGAACUUAAGUUGGGAGCUGCCUUGUGGCUGCUGGGAACUGAACCCAGGACCUCUGGAAGAACAGCCAGCGCUCUUAACCGCUGAGGUAGUACUACAGCCCCUGACUUUUUAAUUAUAUUUAAUGUCAAUGACUUUAAAUUUAAAUAACCAUAUUAGCUAGAUAUUUACUAUGUUGUGGACUUGGUAUGACAGUGUAAAACAGCCAACUUACAAUUUCCUAUUUACUACAUGUUAAAAUGACAAUAUUUGUGCUAUCCUAACUUAAAGAGUUAUUCUACAUCCACACUUUGUUUCUAUUUAGCAUGCCUAUUAUCAAUGUUCUGAGAUGUUUUAUAUAUGGCUCAUAUUAUACUACAGGCUACAUUUGUUUCUGGGAUGAUUUUGCUGGGAGGUAUUCAAAACAGAAGAAAAAGGAAAAAUUAUUACUAUAAGAUUCUCUUUCUCACAUAUGGUAUGUAUGUAUGUAUGUAUGCAUGUAUGUAUGUAUGUAUGUGUUACACAUCUAACUCAGAAGUCAUGGACAUCAUGCUAGGGAAAUACACUGUCACAGACCACAUCCCAGUUCAACAGUCUCUAUUUCAGUGGAUGAAGCAGCAGGCUGUGAUCAGAACAAGGGUGCUGGCUACUGUCUAGGUCUAGACUUGAUUGGUGGCUUCACGAACUUUUGCUUUAUAACAAUAUGUGAAAGCAUCUGCCUUCAGGAUGUUAUGCUGUGUGAAGCACCGUGUGCAACAGAAUAAAAAGGCAACCACCGUGAGACUCUGGCCCCGAGGUUUAGCGGCAGGAAACUACACAAAGAAAUAGAAUGGCCAUUAUUUGGGCCUGGGAUGAGUGAGGGACAGAGGGCUUUUUUAAGAAACUCUAUGCAGAGGUUCAUGUUUGCAAGAUGAAAAGAAUUCUGAAGACGGGUGGUGUGAUGGCUGUUCAGUUGUGCGAGAAGGCAAAUGCUACGCUGUGUGUAGUCCAUACAACUCAGAAAGCGUGAGUGCACUCAGUCCAUCUCCUCCAUCUCUACUCUAACCCUGACUCCUCCAUGGAAACGUCACCUUCAAGGAUGGCAAGGACACACACGGAGUUCCAGCCCUGAGUCCUUUGCUGGAACCAUGUCCCUGGCAUGGCUUGCUCCCUUUCGCUUGUGGGGUAUUGGCAGUAGUAACAAGGACGCUACUUUGGUGAUGGAGAAGUCACACAUUAUUGGCGUCUAUUUGCCAGACACUGCUAAGAAUUAGAAAGAGGUUCUGACAUAUUCUUGUGGUGUUAAAAUAAGAGUGAACAUCGAGAACUGAAUCUGCCUUCUAGGAAGGUACAAUUGUUCCUUGGUAUACGGUGGGGUUUGGUCUCAGAACUCCAUAAAUGCUCAAAUCUAUGGAUAUUCAUAGUCUUUCUAUAAAAUGUGUACAUUUUGCUUGUAACCUAAGCAAACUCUCCUGAGUACUUUAAAUUGGCUCUAUGGGGUACAAUGGAAUCGCGAGGUAAAUCGCUGCUCUCCCUUACUGUUUCUGGCAUAAUGACUGGAAAUUUGCACCCCUUCAGUAUAAGCACAAGUUUCCCUCCCAAAAUUUCAAUCUGAGGUUGGUUGACUCCUUCGAUGUGCUGCCUAGCAAGAUGGUGAGCUAACACUAUAAACAGGCUAGCCUCCAGAAGGAGCCAGCCUACAGAAAUCACAGGGAGGACCUUUACCAGUGGAAAGCAAGGUGGUUAUUGUGGGUGUGCUGUUUAGUGCCAAGUGUCAGCUUGGCACAGAUUAGAGUCACCUGGAAAAUGACCUCAGAGUGACUGCCAAGUUAGGUGGGCCUGUGAGCAUGAGAUGAUGUUAAUUGAUGUGGGAAGACCCAGCCUAGAGUAGGUGCCACCAUUCUGUGUUUUGGGAUCUCAGACUACGCAUGCAUGAGCUCGCUGUCUCCCUGCCCUUGAGUGUAGGUGUGGCCAACUGCUUCACUGUUCCCUGCCUUGGUUUCCCCAUAAAGACACUGUGACCCAGAACUGUGGGCUGAAACAAACCCCUUUUGCCACCAACUUGCUUUUCCUGUGGUAUUUUAUUAUAAUAACAGAAAGGGAAGGAGGCUAAUCCCUCAUCCUUCUAUAGGUUUGUGUGAAAAGCAUCCUUGCUAAAUAGCAAUUUAAUAAAUAGGAGGGUAUAUAACACACACACACACACACACACACACACACACACACACACACACACACACUGAACCACCAUGGAAAGAGGCAAUGUGAGUGACCCUUUUAGGUUCAAAGCCUCUGCUCAUUGCUGCUGUGGCUUCCAGCAUCUAACCUGAAGUCUAGUAGCCAGUGAACCGCAAAAUCAACAUUGACUUGUUGGGAACAAAUAGUUUGCAUCGCCAGAUUUUUUUGUUUUGUUUUGUUUUUGUUUUUCAGAUUCUACCUUCUCUUAAGUCAGAUAUGUACUGAGAUGAAUACACCAUAACCAUUCUUUUACGGAGGCGAAGUUAUUCUCUGAGGUAAUCGUGAAGCUGAGUCCUAGCAAAGGUUUGUAAGGAGAUGCCUAGCAGACAUUUCUAGCAUGUAACAAAUGCCACCAGGGUCACCCAGAAUGAAGAACGAAUGCCCAGACUCACGGACAGUCCCUGUUCUGAAGGCCACCAGCUGGGCCUUUCUAGGCCAAGGACCUGGGCAUUGUUGUUGAAUGGAGGAGGAGGAGCGUUCAGAGAACUCCACUGGUCAUGUAUAAAUUUGGGAAGUCCAACAGGAUCUACGGCUACCGGUUGUUAACCAUGGAAAUGGUAUGGCCAACACUUCAAAGACUUAGUGUUUCUGGAGGUCCCAGCCAGGUAAGUUUGAGAUGACUCAGACAUCGGCAUUAUUGACGCCCAUCUAAGCAUCUAUCCUAGCAUGAGGUUUUCCUCUGGUUAUGCCAAAGCUCUUUCAUGUUCUUAUUUUGUGUUGAAUGAAAACAUCGGAAUUUCCAGAAUCCCGGAUAUCUGCAUUUGAAAGACCUCAAUGGGGGACUCGGAGGUCCUUGACUUUGCCGAGCUUCAGUAAGGAGGGACAUGUCUCCUCUCUUAGGACUGUUGGGAGGACUAAGUACAACCAUACAUGUCAGUCCUGGAACAAGGCCCUGUUCAUUCCUUCAUCAGUCAGAUUUUCCUCGCUGAGACCAGACGCCAGAGAGAGAAACUCAGAGGAGCAUGUUCCAAAGCUUCUGAGGCCUUGGUCUGAUUCUGGCGGAGCAGAGGGGACAGAGGAAUACAGGAGAGGCCCAGGGAAAGCAAGCAGUAGCACUGAGGACGACAUCUCCAGUGACCGCUGCCUCCUGACUUUCACCAGUUCCCAAUGAGGCCGUCUAUGUUAACGGCUCUGGCAGGGGAAUCUAUCCACUGACAGUGUUAGAGUCCUCAGGAUCGGAUCAUUCUCCCAGACCCAUCAGCCGGGAACCAAGUCACUAACAGUUCCUACUCGGAAGACUCCCCUCGUUUGUGGGAAUGAAAGCAACAUUCUGGUUUAAGUUUCAGAACAGAAUUCAGAGCCCUGAGAGCAUGCCUUGUGCUUUGAGAACAGAAAAGCUUAGGAACUGAGAGCUCUAAGUAGCCGGCCCCUGGGGGUGGAGGUGGGGGUGAGGACCAGAACAGCGCCUAAUUUUGAAGGGAAACAGGAAGAGGUCUGAGUCACACUCAUCAGCUCUCACACCGGGAUCUCCAGGCAGCUACUUAGUAACUUUUCUAUCCUCCUCCUGUGCUGUGAAUCAAAGAGCUUAAGAUCCCAGGCUCUGGAGCCAGCCAGAAUUCUGGUGUGAACCCUAGUCCUGUCACUUUCUGGUUAUGAGACCUUGAACGGAUUGAUUAGUACCUCGAUUUCCCCUGCUGUAAAUGGGAUCAGUAAUACUGCGGACGUUUCACAGCAUGAGGGUUGAGUGAGUUAAUAAAAUGUGUUCACAAGAGAGGGAAUGCUAGCCAUCACAGUUUUAGGGCUGAAAAUGGCAUAGCCUAAGACCAGAUCAUUUUUCACCUGGACUAUUUCAUCUGUCUGUCUGUCAUAUAGAUCUAUGCUGACAGAAGUUUUUCUUUUUUCUUUUUUCUUUUUUUUUGG
rnacentral:sRNA from 1 species